rnacentral:lncRNA from 1 species
CUUAAUACAGUUAACCUUCCUCUCACCCAUAGUAAUUCCCCCUCUGCUGAUAACAUGGCCUAAGUAGUUCACUUCCGUAGCCCCAAAGCUGCACUUACUGGGUUUUACAUAGAGCUGGUUGGAUUGAACAACAUCCAACACCUAUCGAAGAUGCUGUAAAUGAGUAUCCCUAUCAGGUGAGUACACCAGUAUAUCAUCAAAAAACACCAGUACAAAUUUUAUAAGGAAUGAUUGAAAAUUUUGAUUCAUUAAACUCUGAAAUGUGGCAGGAGCGUUGGUUAGACCAAACGGCAUAACCAAAAAUUCG